UACAAUUCUCUUUGCCCCUUUAAAGAAGAAAUUAAAAAUAUAUUUAUAAAAGGAUGCCUCCAGAAGGUAGAGUUAGUUACUAUGUUGAUAAAUAUGGUAUAUUUCAUAGGAUAUUAGGAAAAAAUGAUAAUUCAGCGACAGGCAUAAAUAUAAACGUGACACCAAAAGUUUGUUCAACAUGGCUUCGGCUUAUCAUGAUGUUUUGGAAUGUUAAAGUAAUGAAAGCAGCAUUUCGUUUUGGUGUGGCCGCUAUAAUAAUGAAUCAGUAUGAAAGGUUAGGAUUUGCUGUCUUACUAUUGUGUUUUGCAUUGUGAAAAUUUCCUUGGCCUUUUGAACUCAAACUUGGCGUUUUGGAAACUUCGUAAGUAGGAUAUUAUUUUCAUACUACUUGAUACAUAAGUACAUGUCUAAUACGAUAUUAUUCAUUUGUCCACAAUAGAAAAUUAUUUGUAUUACUUGCAUGUAAAAUAUUAAUAAUUUAAGGAUACCGAUUACCGAGAUAAUUAUCUUAAGGCAAGUUCGGUAUUAACAUCUAGACGCUCCAGAUGUGUUUUGUUCUUUUCUAAUUGUAAGAGAUGAAAAGACAAAGAGACAUGUCUAGAGUAUCUAGAUGUCAAUACCGAACUUGUCUUAUGUUAAUACAUUCUCAAUGGAAAACAAAAACAAUCUGUUUUUAUGUACAAAUUAUUGUAAUUUGUAAAUAAAAGUGUGUUCUAAGGUGUGGUCUAGUUAACUACUAUGGAAUACCGCACUUUGGGAUAAUUGCUUUCAAUAAUUAUAGUGGUAUUAUUAGAUAUAAAUGUAUUAAAAUAUGUUGAAAAGUAA